rnacentral:rRNA from 1 species
CCUUCAGGAGCCGAGAUUCCCCCAGUAGCGGCGAGCGAACGGGGAGCAGCCCGGAGUCUGAAUCAGCUUGUGUGUUAGUGGAACGGUCUGGAAAGUCCGACGGUACAGGGUGAUAGUCCCGUACACGAAAAUGCACAGGUUGUGAACUCGAAGAGUAGGGCGGGACACGUGGUAUCCUGUCUGAAUAUGGGGGGACCAUCCUCCAAGGCUAAAUACUCCUGACUGACCGAUAGUGAACCAGUACCGUGAGGGAAAGGCGAAAAGAAC